rnacentral:rRNA from 1 species
UACGUAGGCAGCGAGCGUUGUUCGGAGUUACUGGGCGUAAAGAGUGCGUAGGCGGUUUUCUAAGUUUGGUGUGAAAUCUCCCGGCUCAACUGGGAGGGUGCGCCGGAAACUGCAGUGCUUGAGGGUGGGAGAGGUAAGCGGAAUUCCUGGUGUAGCGGUGAAAUGCGUAGAUAUCAGGAGGAACACCUGUGGUGUAGACAGCUUACUGGACCACUUCUGACGCUGAGACACGAAAGCGUGGGUAGCAAACAGG